CUAAUUAUAUGACCAGCACCUGUAUAUUCUAUUCUUAAAUCCACUAUUCUUAAUGAAUUUUAAAACUGUCUUAACAAUUUUACCAGCUCCUUGUUUUGUGUUUAAUAUGUUGAUGAUUGUAAAUUCUUUGCAGUGAAAGAAGAUAUACAAUCAAAAACAGUAAUAUUGAAAAAAGUUAUUACAGACUUCUAUUUCAAUACAUUGUAAAAUGUAAUUUAUUUCUGUGAACAAAUUUUUCAGCAUCAUUACUCCAGUCUUCAGUGUCACAUGAUCCUUCAGAAAUCAUUCUAAUAUGAUUUGAUGUUUGAGAAAUAAUUUUAAUAUCACUGACCCCUAACUUUUGAACAAUACACACACACACACACAAGGACCUGAUUUUCAUUCACACUAAAAGCCGAACUUAUACUGUGACAUAUAAAGAACACUAGAGGUAUUUUAUCAAAUGAACCUCUUAGGAAAGUGCUGGUCUUGAUGAUGACGAGCUCGUUAUUACGACAACAUCAGGUGAUGCUUUUUCCCGAGACUCGGUUGGUUGAAACUCUUCCCACAUUGAGUGCAUGACUGAACAUUUUCAGUAAAUAUUGUUAUAAAAAAUUUUAUAAAACAUGCAUGGAUGAAUUGUUCACAGUAGAAACAGUAAUAUGCACUCGAAGUAAAUUGGGUAAAUUUUUUACACAGACAGCUUCCAACAUCACAGCACUGGUAAACAUGGAUCAUCAAGGAUUUUUUCCUCAAAUUGGCUUUGAUGAACAAGACAAACUUAAAGUGUUAGUUCACCCACAAAUGAAAAUCAUCCCAUAAUUUACUCACCCUCAUGCGUCGGGUCAGAGGUCAGUCUUUCGCUGGAACUACACUCACGCACAGCCGUUACAGGAGGCCCGUGAUUAUAGUUUAUAAAGUUAUAAAUAUGGAUAUUUUUCUUACAAAAACACAUCACUUUUCUUCAGAAGGCCUUUAUUAACCCCUGCCGUACGGAUUACUUUUAUGAUGGAUGGAUGUGCUUUUUUGGGUUUCGACAUCUAAGUUACAUUUAACUUCCAUUAUACAGCUUGGAAUAUAACUUCAAUUGUGUUCAUCUGAACAAAGGUAGUCAUAUACAUCUAGGAUGGCUUGAGGGUGAGUAAAUCAUGGGAUAAUUUUCAUUGUUGGAUGAACUAACCCUUUAAACGAACAAAAUGCUGCUCUGUUGGAAAGAAUAUCCACAUUUCAGUUGAUCUGAAUCUCACAACUCCAGUGAGAAGUUAUUAACCUCCGCAAUUCAAGAUGAACUACUUACAACUUAUUACAGACAAUAGUGUUUCCAUGCCUGAGCAGAGAAGCGAACUGACUGAAACUCUUCCCGCAUUGAUCACAUGUGUACGGUUUCUCUCCAGUGUGGAUCCUCUCAUGAGUUUUCAGGUUUCCUGAAAUACUGAAUCUCUUGUCGCAGUGUGAACACUUGAACGGUUUCUCUCCAGUGUGGAUCCUCUCAUGUCUUUUCCGGUCUCCUGAACUACUGAAUCUCUUAUCGCAGUAUGAACACUUGUAAGGUUUCUCUCCAGUGUGGAUCCUCUCAUGUCUUUUCAGGGAUCCUGAAUGAUAGAAUGUCUUGUCGCAGUAUGAACACUUGUACGGUUUCUCUCCAGUGUGGAUCCUCUCAUGUGCUUUCAGGUAUCUUGACAUACUGAAUCUCUUGUCGCAGUGUGAACACUUGUAAGGUUUCUCUCCAGUGUGGAUCCUCUCAUGUGCUUUCAGGUAUCCUGACAUACUGAAUCUCUUGUCGCAGUGUGAACACUUGUACGAAUUCUCUCCAGUGUGGAUCCUCUCAUGUGUUUUCAGGGAUCCUGAAUGAUAGAAUGUCUUGUCGCAGUAUGAACACUUGUAAGGUUUCUCUCCAGUGUGGAUCCUCUCAUGUGUUUUCAGGGAUCCUGAAUGAUUGAAUGUCUUGUCGCAGUAUGAACACUUGUAAGGUUUCUCUCCAGUGUGGAUCCUCUCAUGUCUUUUCAGGUCUCCUGACUGUCUGAAUCUCUUGUCGCAGUAUGAACACUUGUAAGGUUUCUCUCCAGUGUGGAUCCUCUCAUGUGUUUUCAGGGAUCCUGAAUGAUAGAAUGUCUUGUCGCAGUAUGAACACUUGUACGGUUUCUCUCCAGUGUGGAUCCUCUCAUGUGCUUUCAGGUAUCUUGACAUACUGAAUCUCUUGUCGCAGUGUGAACACUUGUAAGGUUUCUCUCCAGUGUGGAUCCUCUCAUGUGCUUUCAGGUAUCCUGACAUACUGAAUCUCUUGUCGCAGUGUGAACACUUGUACGAAUUCUCUCCAGUGUGGAUCCUCUCAUGUGUUUUCAGGGAUCCUGAAUGAUAGAAUGUCUUGUCGCAGUAUGAACACUUGUAAGGUUUCUCUCCAGUGUGGAUCCUCUCAUGUGUUUUCAGGGAUCCUGAAUGAUUGAAUGUCUUGUCGCAGUAUGAACACUUGUAAGGUUUCUCUCCAGUGUGGAUCCUCUCAUGUCUUUUCAGGUCUCCUGACCUACUGAAUCUCUUGUCGCAGUAUGAACACUUGUAAGGUUUCUCUCCAGUGUGGAUCCUCUCAUGUCUUUUCAGGGAUCCUGAAUGAUAGAAUGUCUUGUCGCAGUAUGAACACUUGUACGGUUUCUCUCCAGUGUGGAUCCUCUCAUGUGCUUUCAGGUAUCUUGACAUACUGAAUCUCUUGUCGCAGUGUGAACACUUGUAAGGUUUCUCUCCAGUGUGGAUCCUCUCAUGUGCUUUCAGGUAUCCUGACAUACUGAAUCUCUUGUCGCAGUGUGAACACUUGUACGAAUUCUCUCCAGUGUGGAUCCUCUCAUGUGUUUUCAGGGAUCCUGAAUGAUAGAAUGUCUUGUCGCAGUAUGAACACUUGUAAGGUUUCUCUCCAGUGUGGAUCCUCUCAUGUCUUUUCAGGUCUCCUGACUGUCUGAAUCUCUUGUCGCAGUAUGAACACUUGUAAGGUUUCUCUCCAGUGUGGAUCCUCUCAUGUGUUUUCAGGUGUCCUGACCUACUGAAUCUCUUGUCGCAGUAUGAACACUUGUAAGGUUUCUCUCCAGUGUGGAUCCUCUCAUGUCUUUUCAGGUCUCCUGACCUACUGAAUCUCUUGUCACAGUGUGAACACUGGAAAGGUUUCUGGUCACAUGUCAACAGUUUCUCUUUAGAAUGAGUACUCAUGUGCUCCCUGAGACUUCUUUUACGUGCGAAACUCUUUCCACACUGGUCACAUGUGAACACUUUGUCUUCAGCAUGAGUUCCUAUGUGCUCAUUCAGGCUUUUUUUACAUGUGAAAC